rnacentral:rRNA from 1 species
GAGUUUGAUCGUGGCUCAGAUUGAACGCUGGCGGCAUGCCUUACACAUGCAAGUCGAACGGCAGCAUGAUCUAGCUUGCUAGAUUGAUGGCGAGUGGCGAACGGGUGAGUAAUACGAUCGGAACGUGCCCUGUAGUGGGGAUAACUAGUCGAAAGAUUAGCUAAUACCGCAUACGACCUGAGGGUGAAAGUGGGGACCGCAAGGCCUCAUGCUAUAGGAGCGGCCGAUGUCUGAUUAGCUAGUUGGUGGGUAAAGGCCCACCAAGGCGACGAUCAGUAGCUGGUCUGAGAGGACGAU